GACGAACGCUGGCGGCGUGCUUCACACAUGCAAGUCGAACGGUAAGGCCCUUCGGGGUACACGAGUGGCGAACGGGUGAGUAACACGUGGGUGAUCUGCCCUGCACUUCGGGAUAAGCCUGGGAAACUGGGUCUAAUACCGGAUAGGACCACUGCCUGCAUGUGUGGGGGUGGACAGCUUUUGCGGUGUGGGAUGGGCCCGCGGCCUAUCAGCUUGUUGGUGGGGUUAUGGCCUACCAAGGCGACGACGGGUAGCCGGCCUGAGAGGGUGACCGGCCACACUGGGACUGAGAUACGGCCCAGCCUCCUACGGGAGGCAGCAGUGGGGAAUAUUGCACAAUGGGCGCAAGCCUGAUGCAGCGACGCCGCGUGAGGGAUGACGGCCUUCGGGUUGUAAACCUCUUUCAGCACCGACGAAGCGCAAGUGACGGUAGGUGCAGAAGAAGGACCGGCCAACUACGUGCCAGCCGCCGCAGUAA
rnacentral:rRNA from 1 species